rnacentral:rRNA from 1 species
UACGUAGGGGGCGAGCGUUGUCCGGAAUUAUUGGGCGUAAAGAGCGUGUAGGCGGUUCGGUAAGUCUGCCGUGAAAACCUGGGGCUCAACCCCGGGCGUGCGGUGGAUACUGCCGGGCUAGAGGGUGGUAGAGGCGAGUGGAAUUCCCGGUGUAGCGGUGAAAUUCGCAGAUAUCGGGAGGAACACCUAUGGCGAAGGCAGCUCGCUGGGACGUUACUGACGCUGAGACGCGAAAGCGUGUGGAGCAAACAGG